UACGGAGGGAGCAAGCGUUACUCGGAAUUAUUGGGCGUAAAGGGCGCGUAGGCGCUUUGAAAAGUCUUGUGUGAAAGCCCCGAGCUUAACUCGGGAAGUGCACAAGAAACUGUUGAAUUUGAGUUCCGGAGAGGAAGGCAGAAUUCCCGGUGUAGCGGUGAAAUGCGUAGAUAUCGUAAGGAAGACCAGUGGCGAAGGCGGGUCUCUGGACAGUUCCUGACGCUGAGGCACGAAGGUCAGGGGAGCAAACGGG
rnacentral:rRNA from 1 species